GACUCAAAAAUAAAAAUUAAAAAAUGAGCGCGCGGCGCGAGGACCCGGACGCGCGGAGCCAUCGUCGCGAGGACCAUGCUGCUUCCGAACAUCCUGCUCACCGGUACACCAGGGGUUGGAAAAACCACACUAGGCAAAGAACUUGCAUCAAGAUCAGGACUGAAAUACAUUAAUGUGGGUGAUUUAGCUCGAGAAGUCUGAUCACCGGAUAUCAUGGAGUCUGGCAAGAUGGCUUCUCCCAAGAGCAUGCCGAAAGAUGCACAGAUGAUGGCACAAAUCCUGAAGGAUAUGGGGAUUACAGAAUAUGAGCCAAGAGUUAUAAAUCAGAUGUUGGAGUUUGCCUUCCGAUAUGUGACCACAAUUCUAGAUGAUGCAAAAGUUUAUUCAAGCCAUGCUAAGAAAGCUACUGUCGAUGCAGAUGAUGUGCGAUUGGCAAUCCAGUGUCGUGCUGACCAGUCUUUUACCUCCCCUCCUCCAAGAGAUUUUUUAUUAGACAUUGCAAGGCAAAGAAAUCAAACCCCUUUGCCAUUGAUCAGCCAUAUUCAGGUCCUAGAUUGCCACCUGAUAGGUAUUGCUUAACAGCUCCAAACUACAGGCUUAAGUCUUUACAGAAGAAGGCAUCUACUUCUGCGGGCAGAAUAACAGUCCCACGGUUAAGUGUCGGUUCCGUUACCAGCAGACCGAGCACUCCCACACUGGGCACACCAACCCCACAAACCAUGUCUGUCUCAACUAAGGUGGGGACUCCAAUGUCCCUCACAGGACAAAGGUUUACAGUACAGAUGCCUACUUCACAGUCCCCAGCUGUAAAAGCGUCAGUUCCUGCAACAUCAGCAGUUCAGAAUGUGCUGAUUAAUCCCUCUUUAAUUGGGCCCAAAAACAUUCUUAUUACCACUAACAUGGUGUCACCACAAAAUGCUGCCAGUGAAUCGUCAAACGCAUUGAAAAGAAAACAUGAAGACGUCGACGACGACGACGAUGACGACGACGGUGACAACCUGUAAUCCAGCCUUCAUGCGUGUAACGUGUACAUGUGGCCUCGAACUCACUGUAUUAAAAUUGAACAUGCAUGCUGGGUGUUUUCAAGUUGGGUUUCAGAAAAGUUAAAUUUGAUAUUUAAUGAGUGAAUAUAGUUCCCAAACUUUUCAGCUAAAACGCUGGAUUUUCUUUAAUGGGAUUAGUAGUGGUUUUUCAUCAUCCUUUAAGUGUGAAAAAAUAAAGCUGUCAUUUAUCAAUUUGAAAAA